rnacentral:rRNA from 1 species
AUCUGGCGUGCUAGGAUCCCUCCUAAAAUCAAGAUUUUCAUGUGGCAAGCUUUUAAGGGCCGCCUGCCUGCUGCUGACCAAAUUCGUAAGCGCGAUGGUCCUGGCUCGGACAGAUGCGCUUUAUGCGGGGACCUAGAGGACACAAAUCAUAUCUUCUUCCAUUGUGUCUUGGCCAAGGUGGUCUAGUGUUGUAUUAGAUCGUGGCUCGGGGUCUCCUGGAAUCCUUGCUCAUUCUCUGAGCUCGGGAUUUUAGCUAAUGGCCUCGUUGGGGUCACUAAACGCAUGUUUUGGCUUGACCUAGCUGCGAUUUGUUGGGCCUUAUGGACGACUAGGAACAAAUUUACCAUCGACAUACUUUUCCUUCUAAGCCUAUUGAUUGCUUAUUUAAAAUGUGUUUGUUUAUGCAGUUGUGAAGAUCAUUGA